GACGAACGCUGGCGGCGUGCCUCAUACAUGCAAGUCGAACGCGAAAGUCCCCUUCGGGGGGCGAGUAGAGUGGCGAACGGGUGAGUAACACGUGGGCAAUCUGCCCUCAAGUUGUGGGAUAACCUCGCGAAAGCGGGGCUAAUACCCCUGUGGAUCCAUGGUUCCUCGGAACUAUGGAUGGAAGGCGCGGCCCUUCGGGGUUGUGCCGCUCGAGGAGGAGCCCGCGUCCCAUUAGUUUGUUGGUGGGGUAACGGCCUACCAAGGCUACGAUGGGUAGCUGGUCUGAGAGGAUGAUCAGCCACACUGGGACUGAAACACGGCCCAGACUCCUACGGGAGGCAGCAGUAGGGAAUUUUGGGCAAUGGGGGAAACCCUGACCCAGCAACGCCGCGUGAGUGAAGAAGGUUUUCGGAUCGUAAAUCUCUGUCAGGUGGGAAGAAUAAAGGCCGGUUAACCCCGGUCCUGACCGCCACCAAAGA
rnacentral:rRNA from 1 species